GCAAUUAGUGAUGAGAAGAUCUCGAGUAGCCUGACGGCCACCGGUACAUGAAAAGUAGAUAGGCUGACAGUGGGCCCGAAGAUUGUGCAGCCCCAGUGCCAGACUUCUGCUUUUCACGUGCGGAGGGCGUCCCUGGUGCGUCGACACGUUCACACCGCAAUGC